AACGUUUUUUCCCGUUCUUCAAAUGCCAAGAAUUCGACGUCCUGUUGGUGGUGUUUUCUGAAACGUGAAACCUGUUUCUAUAAUUAUGAGCGUCUGGUGGUCUUGUUCUUGGUCCAGAAACCAGAAUCAAACACACUUUUGAGUGAAAAUGAGCGCAUGCGUUUCAGCUGCCAACGCAAGGCAGGUACUGGCUUCCACCUCGCCUACCGUCUUCACUGCGUGGGCGACGCAGGGGACAAGCCGCCGUAGAGGACAUCCCCCUUCAUUUCCUCUUCUGCAGUGCACAGUUUCCCGUUUGCUACGUGCCUAUCCGGCGGACGCUGCCCAUCUGCCCAUUUUGAAGCGUUCGCUCCCCUCUGCUCAUUCAUCUGCUCGCGCCCUGCUUUUCCAGUGUGCUAUCGAGACUGUUUGUUCAUCUCCUCAUCCAAUGGAGGCUCGCGCCGGAGGUUCUUCGUCUGACUGUGAUCAACUGAAAUCCCUGAGUUCGAACCUGAAUGGGAAGGGCAAGGAUCGCGAUCUUUGUAUCCCUGUUUACUCAGCGCCUGAGGUGCUUCAAAAGCUUAAGUCCAAAUGGGAUUCAGUGGAGAAGCAACCGUAUCGGGCAAUGUAUUCCAGUGUGUUUGGUGGAAUAACUGUUGAUCCAACAAUGAUGGUAAUUCCGUUGGAUGAUCAUAUGGUUCAUCGUGGGCAUGGUGUGUUUGACACUGCUAUGAUCCUUGACGGAUACAUAUAUGAAUUAGAUGAUCAUCUAGAUCGGUUGUUGGGUUCAGCAUCAAUGGCAAAAAUUGCUCCUCCUUUUCCAAAGUCAACUUUAAAAAGUAUUCUUAUUCAAACAACUGCAGUGUCUCAGUGCAAGAGGGGUUCGCUGAGGUACUGGUUAAGUGCAGGCCCAGGAGACUUCUUGCUCUCCUCUGCUGGUUGUCCAACAUCUGCAUUCUAUGCAGUUGUGGUUGAAGAGGACUAUGUACCACUUGAACAAGGUGUAAAAGUGACAACAUCAACUGUGCGUAUGAAACCUCCUGAGUUUGCAACUAUGAAGAGUGUAAACUAUCUUCCUAAUGUUCUAGCAGUAUUGGAGGCAGAGGAGAAAGGAGCAUAUACUUCCAUAUGGGUGGACGAUGAUGGCUACGUAGCUGAAGGUCCGAAUGUUAAUGUGGCAUUCAUUAGUCCAAGCAAGGAGUUGUUGUUGCCUUCAUUUGAUAAAAUCCUUGGAGGGUGCACUGCUAAGAGAUUGAUUACAUUGGCUGCGGCACUAGUUGAUCAGGGCCUUUUGAAAAGUGUGUGUGUGGAGAACAUAACAGUUGAUCAAGCCAAGGGUUCAGCUGAGAUGAUGCUUGUGGGAAGUGGGCUUCCUAUUUUACCAAUCACCAUGUGGGAUGAACAACCCAUCGGAGAUGGAAAAGUUGGGGAACUGACACUGGCGCUCUCAGAUCUGCUUUGGCAGGACAUGGUUCUUGGGCCUGAAACUCACCGGAUUCCUGUUCCAUACGUGUAAAGCAACUCGCGCCUGCAAUUCUUAUAGUUUUCUUAUGAAAACUUGGCAAUGCGUCUUCUUUUAUGAGAGCUUUGGUUCAGCACAUUGGGAAAUUCAAAAAAACUUUGUUGAGAAUAAGGCUUUUUGUGGUGGAUGUACGGGGGGAGGCAUAUCCGAGGUUGCCUUGAAAGAUGAAACAUGCGGUGGUCACGUUUGUUGGAGCUUUUCACAGAGAUUGGAAGAGCAGAUUAUGUUUCUAAUUAGAUAGCCGAAUGGCAGAAUUCAAAGGGUCAAUUGCAUGUGGCAACGAUCUCAUUGUGGUCAAGUACCAUCUCCAUGCUUGUAACUCUGUUGAAGUUACAUUAGAACAAGAAGCAGCUUCCGUAGGAUGAAAAGGAAUCACCAAAUCUGCUG